AAACAAUCUCNAGCAAGGGAUAUNUUGGUUUUGCAACGAUGAAGAAGCAGCGAAAUGCGAAAUUUAAUGUGAAUUGCACAAUUCCGUGAAUCAUCGAGUCUUUGAACGNAAGUUGCGCCCGAGGCUUGUCCGAGGGCAUUUCCGNUNGAGCGUCACN
rnacentral:rRNA from 1 species